rnacentral:rRNA from 1 species
GGGGGGAACCCUGAUGCAGCCAUGCCGCGUGAAUGAAGAAGGCCUUCGGGUUGUAAAGUUCUUUCGGUGAUGAGGAAGGGUGAUGUUUUAAUAGAGCAUUACAUUGACGUUAGUCACAGAAGAAGCACCGGCUAACUCCGUGCCAGCAGCCGCGGUAAUACGGAGGGUGCGAGCGUUAAUCGGAAUGACUGGGCGUAAAGGGCACGCAGGCGGUGACUUAAGUGAGAUGUGAAAGCCCCGAGCUUAACUUGGGAAUUGCAUUUCAUACUGGGUGGCUAGAGUAUUUUAGGGAGGGGUAGAAUUCCACGUGUAGCGGUGAAAUGCGUAGAGAUGUGGAGGAAUACCGAAGGCGAAGGCAGCCCCUUGGGAAAAUACUGACGCUCAUGUGCGAAAGCGUGGGGAGCAAACAGGAUUAGAUACCCUGGUAGUCCACGCUGUAAACGCUGUCGAUUUGGGGAUUGGGCUUUAUGUUUGGUGCCCGUAGCUAACGUGAUAAAUCGACCGCCUGGGGAGUACGGCCGCAAGGUUAAAACUCAAAUGAAUUGACGGGGGCCCGCACAAGCGGUGGAGCAUGUGGUUUAAUUCGAUGCAACGCGAAGAACCUUACCUACUCUUGACAUCCUAAGAAG